UGUAGAAAAGUUUAUUAUCGGCAUGUUCUUGAGCUAAUGUUUGUUAUUCUGAAUACUUUUCAGCUGACUACAUCAAACCGUAUUCCAGAAAUGAUCCCAAGUUCAAUGAAUGCGCACUAAAGAGUGGUAGAGCUGCUUUUCCGAGAAUUAUCGAAGGAGAUCGGAAGUAUGACUUCCCUGUCUUGGAUCCACUAGUGGUCGACAAAUUUUCUCUGACACACAUGGGUUUAAACGCAUCUUCAAGGAAUUUCACCAUCGCGGGAGUGAAGGAUGCCUUUUUUGAGGAUAUCAGUCGAAGAUGCGGAGUUCGUGACAAUCCUUCUACUUUCAUCAGCACGUCUUCACACAAGCGGUUUAAGAAGAAUAUAAAAUGGCAUUAUUCAUUAGCCAACGCAAACGAUUUACAGACAAAUAAAACAGCAGUUGAUACGUGGCAAUAGCAUGCUGAUACAUUUUUUCAAUAUGACAUUUUAAAUCUCUAACGCGGUUUGCAUAAAUUUCAAGUCAGUUGCUUAUUGUACAAACACGUUUGAUGGCAAAGGGGGAGUUCUUGGACAAGCUUUUAACCGAACACCUGAUAUGCCCCAGGAGAAAUUCAUAUUGAUUCGGAUGAAGAUUGGAAUCUAGAUAUUGAUGAUAAGGUGACCAAAUAAAUGCUCACAUGAAGAAAGCCCACACGAAAAUUCCGCACAGAAAAACUCCACUGUCAUCAAUGCUCACAUGAAAAAUACCUAUAUGGAAAAAUGCUCACACAGAAAAAUACGCACAUAGAAUAAUUCUCACAUUAUUUUUAGUUUACAAAAAACAAAUAAUUCCAUAUUUCAAAACGCCAAACGGGGCCAAGUAUAGGUUAGGUUAGUAUGUAUAGUAUAGUUGAACUUCAAUUCAUAGCAUGCAUAUAACGCCUUAUUUAGAGUGUAUUACUUGAUAGUAUUGUGAAUGUGAGAAUUUUUCUAUGUUCGUAUUUUUCUGUGUGAGCAGUCCGGUGAGCAUUUAUCCGUGUGAGAAUUUUUUCGUGUGAGCAUUUUUCCAUGUGAGUAUUAUGACUGGGGGUUUUCUGUAAACAAUUCUCAUGUAGGCUUUUAUCUGUGAGCUUUUGUAAUGGAACUUGAUGAUAAAAUCCCAAAACUUCAAAAAAAAGGAAUAUUGUUUUAUUGCAUAAAUAGGGCAUGCUUUAGGAAUAUCUCAUUCAAAUGAUAUGUUAUGCUUGCAGCGAAUAUUUUAAAAAAAAUAAUUACAUGGAGAUAAUAUUUUAGCUACAUGUACCACCAGCUAAAAAAAUGAAAAUUUGUCUCCAGAACUAGAAUCAAAAGUAUGUGGUCUAAUAAACAAUGUCAACAAGCUUUUAAACGUUAAUCAGCUAACGUAAGAAUUUUGCAAUAAAUGGAUUUAUUCUUUUUUCUUUAUA